GGCGCAACAGAGACGCACUGCACACAACGCUGUCUCAGCAGAAGCACAAUCUGGCCCUCCCAACAAAUGCUGAAUAUGAGAAGUUGGCAAAUCUCGAGAAACAGCUGGAGCCAUGCAGGUACAUCACUGAGCUCCUUGGUGGGGAUAAGUAUGUAUCCUGCUCUGUGGUUCUACCUGCCCUGUGCCACCUCCAGCAUGCGAUGAAGAUCUCAGAUGAUGAUCCUGCCUACAUUGUGCGAUUCAAGGCUGCCUUCACCACGGACCUCAACCAGCGGAGGGAGAAAAUAAACCUGGAAUGGCUUAAGGUGGCGACUGCUCUAGAUCCACGUUUUAAGGACCUCAAGUGCUUGCCCAGAGCAGAGAGGGAGCCAGUGUGGGCAAAGCUAAGGGAGUUGGUGAAGGGAGAAGAACCUGCUCUGCAGCCACUCGGGGAGGAGAACCCUGAGCCACCCAAGAAGAAAACAGCCCUGCUAGUGAUGGAUUCAGACUCAGAAUCAGAGGAGGAGACACCAGAAGACAAUACUGUGGAGAGGUACAAGGUAGAGCCCAG